UUCAAGUACAACUAUCGGUUUCUAUAUCCAACGUUUAACCGCCCAUUUUAUUUAUUUUUUAUUAGUUUGUUUGUUAUUAGAUGAUAAAUUAUAAAUAAUAUUUUUUACGUGAUUUAUUUUUUAAAUUUUUUAAUAAAAUUUUUAAAUAAGACGAACGGUAAAAUAUUGGAUAUAAAAACAUUUGGCUGUAAUUAAA
rfam:Oryza rufipogon genomic scaffold, chr03